AGAGGGAUUGCUGGUCCUCGCCAAGGUCGCGGGACUAUCGUGGAUGUCGCUCAAGCUUGUUCUUGAAAUGUGCGGCAACACGUCCGGAACCGAGAUCGAGAACAUCGACGAUCCUACGACAUGUUGCGCCCUUCAACCGCGCAACAGGUGCUGCGCUUCUACCGGAUGCGGCAGGACACCGCGCAGACCGAACCUGCUCUAUGAGGACGAUGGCGGCGCGAGAUUCAGCGCGGCCGUCACGCGAAUCUAGAAUCUCAAGACGCGCGAACCUGCGAGCGCGCCGAUCGCCGCAACGAUU
rnacentral:misc_RNA from 1 species